UCUAACUUGACGCUAGCCUUUGCAGUUUUAAAUCGCAAAACACCACGUACUGCGGGCAAUUUCCAUCUAGUUUGUUAUUUGUUGCACCUUACCAACAUAAUAUUAAACCAUGGCUUCUUAUACGUGAUUUCCUACCUUUUAAAAGCUGUUUUUGGGCCGGAGGAUGACGCAGGAUUUCUGCAAAGCGUCAAGUUUACAUUGGCUACUGUUGACAUAAUCAGUGAGAAGACGACAAAUCCGAGUCACAAGACUUCUUCCGAGCUGCCUUCUUUCAGGAUUAUAAGAGAUGGAAAACGCUGGUUUCCGCAGCGGGAGCUUUGACAGCCUUCAUCAUCCCAGCGAAGAUGAUGAUGACGAGAUGGUGGACAUUGCAGGAGCCACGCUAGACUUCUCUGCCACGGAGGAUGACCCUCCCCUCAGCUCAGAGGGGAAACAUGGUGAUGAAGAAGAGACAUGAAGAAGAGGGGACACAUGUUGAUGAAGAAGAGACAUGAAGAAG